GACGAACCGUGCGAACGUUGUUCGGAAUCACUGGGCGUAAAGCGCACGUAGGCGGCUCUUUAAGUCGGGGGUGAAAUCCUGGAGCUCAACUCCAGAACUGCCUUCGAUACUGGAGAGCUUGAGUUCGGGAGAGGUGAGUGGAACUGCGAGUGUAGAGGUGAAAUUCGUAGAUAUUCGCAAGAACACCAGUGGCGAAGGCGGCUCACUGGCCCGAUACUGACGCUGAGGUGCGAAAGCGUGGGGAGCAAACAGG
rnacentral:rRNA from 1 species